AGUACUUCGACACAUUUUCCAUCCACCUACGGCUGGUGUUUAUGUUGAAAUCACUUUUGGCUUGGUUCUGGAUAUGGGGAACUAUUAAUGUAGCAAUGGAUGCAAGAAUGGUCUAUUGAAGUUCAUUUUCACACCCUUGAAUAAUGGACAAGACAUGCUAACAAGUCUGGAAAAAGCAUUUGGGGAAUGAGAAAGAACUACUUCUCUUAAAUCUACAAAUGAGUGGUAUUUCCUUUUGGUAGUGCAAGUACCUGUUGUGGCCAUGUUUUCUUUGUGCUGCUGCGGACCAUGUCUCGAGAAUGUCCAUGAGCUGCUUAUGUAGAUGUUGCUUUUGCUGUUACUACCUUCUAUUGCUCUUCAUAGAACGUUCUUCUAUUUCUCUGAUUCUAUAUCAGCUUUGCUGCUAAGUUUGUAGUUGUAUGUGCUUUAUCCGAGUUUCAACCUAGCAACAUCAUUUUGUAAAGUGUAACAAAUGUAUUAUUCUAUUGAAAAUU